AUCCAUAGAUCUAGCUUGGACUUUGAUGUUUGUGUUGGUUGAUUCCUACUGGCCUUAAUUUUCUUGUUGCUUGAUUCUUAUUUGCCUUAAUUUUCUUUGGUUUUUCUCCUGCUUGUUUUUUUUAAAGCUCGAAUUGGAAUAGUUUGAUACUAGUAGAAUAGUGUUUUUAAUAUUUGAAUCGGAUCUCUGGUUGACCCAUUUUUUGUUUCAAAAUGUGAAAUUGCAAUUUCCAAUUGUCAGAAUUUUGAAAUUUUGUUGCCUGAGACAACAGCCAGAGAGGGAUUUUGAUACUGUUCUUCUGAGGCGUGUAUGAUAAUUUAAAUCGGUGGUUGUAUAAACUGAAGCGUUUUUUGUUCUCCUAAAAUCAUGACAACUGUGGAUAAGAUGCAUAAGUGUGAGAAGAUUGAAACAAAUUGUUGGAAUUGCUAAUGCCUGUUGAGAAGAAGAUUGAAGCAAAAAUGUGAUAUGCGUCUAUUCUUUCAUUGUGGUUUGCUUUAUGCUUUCGCAGCAUGAUUUCUUCCGUAAAAUUGAGUCGAAGUUUCCCAUCUAGUUUAAUUUUUACCAUGCUAGAGAGCAUGUCUGUGUCAUGUUAUGUCUUUGUGACCAUAGAGAUUAAUUGGACGCUCUCUAUUUAGGUGAGGCGUAUAAUAAUUAAAGUUUAUAUUUAAAAGUCCAUUUAUUGAUGCAAUUGCUAAGGCCAGUCUGAGAAUAUCGAAUUUUUUAUUUGAUAUACUUGUAAUAUACAUUUUGCAUUAUGAUCACAUCCAUAAAAGUAAUUAUGAACUUAAUGCCUGUUUUAUAAUUAACUAAUUUGUAAUUAAUUAAUUUGUAAUGGCAGGUUGUAUCACCACGAAAGAACUUGGGACUGUGAUGAGAUCGCUUGGACAGAACCCCACCGAGGCAGAGCUACAGGAUAUGAUUAAUGAAGUUGACGCUGAUGGAAAUGGAACUAUUGAUUUUCCUGAGUUUCUGAAUCUCAUGUCUAGGAAAAUGAAAGACACUGAUUCUGAAGAAGAACUGAAAGAGGCUUUUAGAGUUUUUGACAAAGAUCAAAAUGGUUUUAUUUCUGCUGCAGAGCUGCGUCAUGUGAUGACAAACCUUGGUGAGAAGCUUACUGACGAAGAAGUUAAUGAAAUGAUAAAAGAGGCUGAUGUUGACGGUGAUGGCCAAAUAAAUUAUGAGGAAUUUGUCAAGGUUAUGAUGGCAAAGUGAUCACUCUAACUCGGGUUAUGUUCGGUAUGACAUGAUCAAAAGUCUAAUGGAAUUGUAAUUACAGUGCAUAUUUCAUUAUUUUGUUCAGUUAUGUAAGAAAAUUUUGAUAAAAUAUAUUGAUGAUUACAUCACGUACCAUUACAUAUAAAAAUAAAUGUGAUGAUUUAUUCUUUUUAUGGCUAUAUAUAUAUUUUUUAUUUGAG
rnacentral:misc_RNA from 1 species